AUUACCAAGGCAUCAGGGCAGAGACUCCCUGAGGCGUUUCUAUGCUAGAAGGGUACCAUUUGAAAAGGAACUGUAUGACCCACCGUGAAAUGGAACUGGUAGCUGGUCACCCAGGUGCUCUUCCUUGUUAACUGAUGACAGCGAUUAUUAUGUGAGAACUUUAACAACCUGCCAAAGGAUCCCGGGGCAAGAAUGAGAGCUGAACCAUUGAAAGGCUGAGCAUUGAAGUGCCUGGGAAGCCCAAAACUCAGCACAUUCAUGUUUUUGCUGGUUUUUGACCACUGAGAAGAAAAAAGAGUCAGCAACCAGGGAGCAGUAUGAGUGGAUCUGGUUCAGAACAUCUGUGAACACAGAGGGAAUGGAAACUUCAUUUUCAACAUCAUCAGCCAACUUCCCUCCCAUUACAAUUCUAUCUCAAGAUCAAGGUCAUGCAAGAAA
rnacentral:lncRNA from 1 species